rnacentral:rRNA from 1 species
AGAGUUUGAUCCUGGCUCAGAACGUACGCUGGCGGCACGCCUUAUACAUGCAAGUCGAACGAAGUAGCAAUACUUAGUGGCAGACGGGUGAGUAACAUGUGGGUAUCUUCCCUUUGGCCUGGAAUAACACGAGGAAACUUGUGCUAAUACUGGAUAAGUCUUUACGGAGAAAGCUUUAUGCACCAUUGGAUGAGCCCGCACUUGAUUAGUUUGUUGGUGGGGUAAUGGCCUACCAAGACAAUUAUCAAUAGCUGAUUUGAGAGGAUGAUCAGCCACAUUGGAACUGAGACACGGUCCAAACUCCUACGGGAGGCAGCAGUAGGGAAUCUUGCACAAUGGAGGAAACUCUGAUGCAGCGAUGCCGCGUGAGUGAAGAAGGCCCUUGGGUUGUAAAGCUCUUUCGUCGGGGAAGAAAAUGACUGUACCCGAAUAAGAAGGUCCGGCUAACUUCGUGCCAGCAGCCGCGGUAAUACGAAGGGACCUAGCGUAGUUCGGAAUUACUGGGCUUAAAGAGUUCGUAGGUUGUUAAAAAAGUUGGUGGUGAAAUCCCAGAGCUUAACUCUGGAACUGCCAUCAAAACUUUUUAGCUAGAGUAUGAUAGAGGAAAGCAGAAUUUCUAGUGUAGAGGUGAAAUUCGUAGAUAUUAGAAAGAAUACCAAUUGCGAAGGCAGCUUUCUGGAUCAUUACUGACACUGAGGAACGAAAGCAUGGGUAGCGAAGAGGAUUAGAUACCCUCGUAGUCCAUGCUGUAAACGAUGUGUGUUAGACGUUGGAAAUUUAUUUUCAGUGUCGCAGCGAAAGCAAUAAACACACCGCCUGGGGGAGUACGACCGCAAGGGUUAAAACUC